rnacentral:rRNA from 1 species
AGUGAACGCUGGCGGUAGGCCUAACACAUGCAAGUCGAACGGCAGCACAGUAAGAGCUUGCUCUUACGGGUGGCGAGUGGCGGACGGGUGAGGAAUACAUCGGAAUCUACUUUUUCGUGGGGGAUAACGUAGGGAAACUUACGCUAAUACCGCAUACGACCUACGGGUGAAAGCAGGGGAUCUUCGGACCUUGCGCGAUUGAAUGAGCCGAUGUCGGAUUAGCUAGUUGGCGGGGUAAAGGCCCACCAAGGCUACGAUCCGUAGCUGGUCUGAGAGGAUGAUCAGCCACACUGGAACUGAGACACGGUCCAGACUCCUACGGGAGGCAGCAGUCGGGAAUAUUGGACAAUGGGCCCAAGCCUAGUCCAGCCAUACCGCGUGGGUGAAGAAGGCCUUCGGGUUGUAAAGCCCUUUUGUUAGGAAAGAAAAGCAGCAGGUUAAUACCCCGCUGUUCUGACGGUACCCAAAGAAUAAGCACCGACUAACUUCGUG